rnacentral:rRNA from 1 species
CCCUUAGAUGCCCUGGGCCGCACGCGCGCUACACUGAUGCAUGCAACGAGUUUAUAACCUUGGCCUGAAAGGUCUGGGUAAUCUUUUGAACGUGCAUCGUGAUAGGGAUAGAUUAUUGCAAUUGUUAAUCUUGAACGAGGAAUUCCUAGUAAACGCGAGUCAUCAGCUCGCAUUGAUUACGUCCCUGCCCUUUGUACACACCGCCCGUCGCACCUACCGAUUGAAUGGUUCGGUGAAGAUCUCGGACUUCGAUAUUUAUUCUUUAUUGAGUUUAUAUUGUGGGAAGUUAUCUAAACCUCAUCAUUUAGAGGAAGGUGAAGUCGUAACA